rnacentral:rRNA from 1 species
CAGUCGCCACGGGAAUACGUAGGUGGCAAGCGUUGUCCGGAAUUAUUGGGCGUAAAGGGCUCGCAGGCGGUUUCUUAAGUCUGAUGUGAAAGCCCCCGGCUCAACCGGGGAGGGUCAUUGGAAACUGGGAAACUUGAGUGCAGAAGAGGAGAGUGGAAUUCCACGUGUAGCGGUGAAAUGCGUAGAGAUGUGGAGGAACACCAGUGGCGAAGGCGACUCUCUAGUCUGUAACUGACGCUGAGGAGCGAAAGCGUGGGGAGCGAACAGGAUUAGAUACCCCAGUAGUCCCUGUCUCUUAUAC